rnacentral:tRNA from 1 species
CUGCCCGUAGCUCAACCGGAUAGAGCAGCUGCCUUCUAAGCAGCAGGUCGGNNGGGGGUUCGAGUCCCUCCGGGCAGGCCA